GAGAGAAGCCACGUAGCCGAGGAAGGAGUAACAGGUCCGGACCCUUCUCAGGUCUGACAUGAAUAGGAUGAGUUUUAGCCCUUGUCACCCGUCAUUGUUUUCUCUCACCCGCCUCCUCCUGAUGACCCUUCUUCUUCCUAGAGAUUCUGGAGCCAAAGGAAGGUGGCUUUCUCCUUCCAGGAAGUUACAGUGUUUGAGCAGUGACAGGCAGACACCUGGAGCUGCUGGCGUAGCCAAGGAAGUGGGUUCCAGACUCAGCAAGAGAUUCCAUCGUCUCAGUAGUUAAGACCUACCGGCCCAUGGAUGGCACCUCCCAUGACAGACUAAGCCCUUCUGCAUCAAUUGUCAACCGAGAAAGAAAAACCCUCACAGACAGCUUGAUGAAGGCUCCCUCUUUCCAGGUUAGCUGUCUGGGUGCUUCACCAUGGUCACUGAGGAGCGCAAGGAGAUUGCUCUGUUAAUCAUUUCUUCACCAAGGGAAACAUGUCCCAUCACCCAGUGUCUGUACUCACAGUGCGUCUGAUGUCAGCUUUCUUCCCAGAACCAACCCUAGAGAAAUCGCAGAAGCCAAAUGGAAGGACAAAUUCCAGGGACAUUUUAGAAAGUAGGAAAACCCUGGUUGUACCAACCUUGGUUGUGUUGAGAACCUGGGUUGUAUGUAAUUCUAAGCACAUUAAAAAAUGUCUGGAAGUCCUGUGUGUAACUUAUGCAUACAAAAGGCAGGUGGCUGGAGGCAGACAUGAAGGGAUAAGUCAUUGAGGCUUCGGGGACCUCUCAGGGGUGAUAUGUCGGUGGAUAAGAGAAAUGAUCCAAGUAUCUACUACAACCCACAGUUAAAAUUCUAGACAACCUAUUGGGAGUAGCCCAGAAGGACAUGACAACCUGCUCGGAUAAGUGUCUGUUAACACAAAGAUACUGUUCAAUUAAAAAGUCGGUAGAGCUUAAAUAAACAAAAAACUUAACUAGAAGCCAAACAAGAGAGGACAAAACCAGGAAGCUUAGCUUCUAAACCAGCAAAAGAAAGCUUAGUCUUCCCAAAGAAGCAAAAAGAAAAGAGGAAAAACAGGGUAAAUACAAAUAAACAUGAGGUCGAAUGGCAGAAAUGACGCUUACCAUGAUAGAAGUCAGUAAAUGUAAAUGGGCAAGAUUUGAAAAGCAAUGGCAGUUUAUGGUUGGGUUUAGCAGAAACAAGUUAGUACUGAUUGCCCUGCAAGACAAUGCUUGAAACAAGCAAACACCCCAGAGAAAGUGUGGAAUAAGUGAAAGGAAAUUUUUAAGUGAGAGAAGUCUUAAAAUCUGACCGAAAAUAUGUCCCAACAAUCCCAAGGGCAGUGGGGGCUGGGGAAAUGGCUCAAGGCAAUGCCUGCUUACCUGACAAGCCAGAAGACCUGGGUGUGAUGCUUAGAACACACACACACACACACACACACACACACACGCAGACACCGUGAUGUCACUCUUGUAAUCCCUGUGCUAAGCAGAGUCUACCCUACUUGGUGAAUUGCAGGCCAGUAAGAGACCUUGUCUCAAAAACACAAGGUAGACAGCUGAGGUCAUUCUCCGGUCUCCAUGUAUACCUACACACAUGGCAUCCAUGAAAAAGGGUGAUGGAGGCAUAAAGUCAAACAAGCCACAGUACCAGUUUGUGCACAUACAAAAUGCAACCAUGCUUUAUUUAAGAAAAGGUGACAGAACAUUAGACAAAGCAAUAGCUUCAGUUUUCAGUUGAGAUGACAUAGUCUCGGACUGUAAGAAUCAGCUGCAGAUUGAAGAGGGCAAACACGUGUCUCAAGUAGAAGUGCGAUGAGGCAGAGAUCUAGAUACUUAUCUUCCAACCAGCUCCAGGAAAUGGACUAUGUUUUAAAACAUUGAGAUCAGCGCCUUCCUUCGUACUGGAAAUCGAAAGAAAAUGUUACCAUAAAGUGCUGAAAUAAAAUAGCUGACCAUCUAGGAUGCUAUCGUUGGCAAAAACAAAUGCCAUUCCAAAUUAAAACCAUUGACAACAGAUUCAAAUAGACUCUUGUGCAACAGGAGACACGUAAGUGGUCAGUAAACACACUUAAAAUGUCUUCAUGCCAUCAGGAAUAGGAAAAUGAAAACCACACUGCAAUGCCAAUACACAUAGCCAGGGUGAUAAUUACAUCUCUUAAAUGUCAGACCUGAGAGUGCUGAGGUUGCAGAGUGACGGAAAUGCUUAUUAAUGUUGGAUGGGAAUAUAAAAUAAAAUAUAAAAUGAAGCAUCUGACAGAUUUGGUGGGAAAGGUCUCACAGUUGUGUGUGUGUGUGUGUGUGUGUGUGUGCGCUCGCGCGCGCUAACCUGAAUAUAUGCCCAUGUGCCAGUCAUUUCAUUUCUAGGCAUCUACUCAAAAUAAAUGAAAUGAAGUGUUUACCAGAAGAUUAAACAAGCAUAUUCAGUCACUAAUAUUUUCAUUGCAAACAUCAAAACCCUCAAAUAGCACAACUGCCUUCCAAUAAGAGAAUGAAAAAACAAACUGGCAAGAACAAAGGGAUACUGAGUGACAGUCAUAGUGAGUCCUACUGAGCUUGCUACUGAGUGACAGUCUUAGUGAGUGCCACUGAGCUUGCUACUGAGUGACAGUCAUAGUGAGUGCCACUGAGCUUGCUACUGAGUGACAGUCAUAGUGAGUCCUACUGAACUUGCAACAACAUGCAUUUAUCUCCAGAAACGCUAUGUCAUGUAAAUGUUUUCCACAGAAGGCUGUAUACUGUACAUUCACCAUAAAGACCUUACACUUCUCUGAAGUGUGUGAGAGUGCUUAUGAUUUAUAACACUGAAAAGGGGUGUUGUAAUAUUACUAAGCUUUAAAGUCCAUAGACUAAACAGAGUGAUGCCCUGUGCCUUGUUGUGGAAUGAUACAGCAAGAUAGGGAUUCUGCCCAUGUUAACCUAUAAAUUAAAUAUAACUGAGAUAAAAAUUCCAAGUGUAUUUUUUUUGUUU